rnacentral:rRNA from 1 species
GAUGAAUGCUGGCGGCGUGCCUAACACAUGCAAGUCGAGCGCGACUGAUUUGAUGCUUGCAUCAUUGAAAGUUGAGCGGCGGACGGGUGAGUAACGCGUGGGUAACCUGCCCUAUACACAUGGAUAACAUACUGAAAAGUUUACCAAUACAUGAUAAUGUAUAUUUACGGCAUCGUAGGUAUACCAAAGUGUUAGCGGUAUAGGAUCGGACCCGCGUCUGAUUAGCUAGUUGGUGAGAUAACUGCCCACCAAGGCGAUGAUCAGUAGCCGGUCUGAGAGGACGAACGGCCACAUUGGGACUGAGACACGGCCCAA